rnacentral:rRNA from 1 species
AUUGAACGCUGGCGGCAGGCCUAACACAUGCAAGUCGAACGAGUGGCGGACGGGUGAGUAAUGUCUGGGAAACUGCCCGAUGGAGGGGGAUAACUACUGGAAACGGUAGCUAAUACCGCAUACCAUCAGAUGUGCCCAGAUUGGAUUAGCUAGUAGGUGGGGUAAAGGCGCACCUAGGCGACGAUCCCUAGCUGGUCUGAGAGGAUGACCAGCCACACUGGAACUGAGACACGGUCCAGACUCCUACGGGAGGCAGCAGUGGGGAAUAUUGGACAAUGGGCGCAAGCCUGAUGCAGCCAUGCCGCGUGUAUGAAGAAGGUCUUCGGGUUGUAAAGUACUUUAAGCUAGGAGGCGUUACUAACAGAAUAAGCACCGGCUAACUUCGUGCCAGCAGCCGCGGUAAUAC